rnacentral:tRNA from 1 species
UAAGACUUGUGGGGACUAACCCACAUCUUCUGAAUGCAACCCAAACGCUUUUAUUAAGCUAAAGCCUUU